AAGUCGUAACAAGGUUUCCGUAGGUGAACCUGCGGAGGGAUCAUUACUGAGUUCUGGGUCUAACCGACCCGACCUCCAACCCUUUGUUGUCCGACUCUGUUGCCUCGGGGGCGACCCUGACCUUCGGUUUGUGGGCCCCCGGUGGGCACUAUUCAAACUCAUGCGUUAAUUAUGUCGUCUGAGUAUUGAUUAAAUCAAUCAAA
rnacentral:misc_RNA from 1 species